GGGCAGAUGGGAAAGAAAGUUGAAUGUGGGUGGGAGCAGGAGAGAGUUGGGGAAAAAGCAGGAGAAACAGAAAGAAAAAGAAGCAGCCAUCAGUGGCCAAGCAGAAACCUAGUGAUGGGCAUGUUCAGGAAGCAACCUGAUGAGUUUGGGAUCUUAUCAAGGGUUCUAUCAAUGAGUUCAUAGAUGAACGAGUACCUUGAGAUGGAAGGUGUCCAACAAUUGGUGAGACUGAGAGAUCCAUCAAAGCUAUUUGAGGUACCACCAACAAAUGGAGUCCAGGAGCUACUGGAAGCAGUAGCAGUAAUCUAGUGAGGAACCAGCCCAGUAGUGGAUUGCUGUAAUAGCUGAGGCAUUUGCUCUCACAAGGAUGGAUUGAUCCAGUCCCACUGAACAUGAAAGAGUUAUCGAGCAGCCUUUCCAUACUCAGAAGUGGACUUAGUGAGGUCUCCAAGAAGGAAUAAAGUGAUUCCCAGGGAAAGGAGGUGCUCCUCUACUGCAUAUGUUCCCUGGUGGGUAACUCAGUACUUUAGCACUUAAACCCACUCUCCCCAAGGAGGA